CACAAAAAGGUCCGGACACAGGUUUAUGUCAAUCUUUCUGCGGGUCUUGUACAUUUUUAGGUGUCUCAGGAGCGAGUCCUUCAUGGUGCUGUCACACUCCAGGAGGACGCCACUUCCUGCACCGGCUUCCUGAUGGCUGAAAGAAAUAACGGAGGACCAUCGAGAGAAAAAAGACCUGCAAAAACCGAGUAAAGAGGACCAGACCCAACACUCAAAAACGAGAGAAAAGAAAGCUUAUCCUAGCUGCACUUUGGCGCAGGGCAGAGUACACCCUGAACAAGUCGCCACCUCAUUGCAUUGCCAACACAGAUUGACAGACAAGCAUCUUUGGAGGCCCGGGAGGCUAGCAGUCCCAGUCCCGUCAAGCCGUUCAUUCACGGGACCUGAGUUCACGUUGACCCGGCAUGGAUGUGCCAUAUCCCCUGCCAUCUGAGGUAGCAGGAGAGGCUCUGUCGUGAGGCCCACCUAACCCUCGCAGCCCCCCUCCGGAUCCAGCACUGCUUACACUGGGGAGGGCUUCAGCCCUAAUGGAGACAGAUGGCACCAAUGGAGAGACAUAUAAAAAGGGACAGCAAGGACAAUAACCUGUCAGGUACUCUGCUGAGCUGCUGGGGCGACAAAGGUCCAGGAGCACCGACCCGGCUAAGGACAGUAUGAAAACACACGCAGACAUUAAACUGUAACUAUAUAAACAAAUAGCACAGCGAGAUACUGUGCAAAGCACUCUGGCACACGUUUAUAAUCGAGGCCACGUACGGUCUAAAAGCCAUUUAAAGUUUAGUAUCGAACCUACCUGUCCACGUGGAUGGAGCCUUGUUGGUUCUAUGGCCGAGCAUCCUGCAGGGCAGCCGCCCAAAGGCAUUGUUGCACUGCUCACGCUCACAAGCAGCAGGAUGACAUGACAGAGACAAUGGGUCAUUUUUCAUCAAAACCCCUUCACCACCAAGCACAAGCAGGACUCUCAAGAGAGCGGCGUGUCAGCACUUAGAAGGCCCCAUUGUUGUUCUAGUUCCCCCAGCACCCCCUCGACCCGUACGACACCAUGGCCGUGAUUUAUUAAUGUUUGUUUUUUUUACUACAUCCCCAUUCAUGAUUUUGUGUGCCUGCUAUUUUAGCGGGAGGAUGAAUGCUCAUGCCUCCAAGUUCAUUAUUGCCCAUCUUAGUAGGUAUAAAUGCCCCUGGGCAAUCUUCAAAAGAUUACAAAUUCUGAUUUAACAAAGACAAUAAUGCUCUGUUUUGAUUGAAUAUUGCGUGUGUCGCUGUUUAUGAAAUGUUGACUACCUAAGAGCGUCUAACAUAUGAGCUGUCCCCGGCUAAUUGUUAUGCUUUAAGUUACAAGGACAACAUUUUAGUUGCAAGCAUCCCCUCCAUUUGUAAGCGUAGAUCAGUUCAGUUCAGUUUCAGUUUAUUUCGAACAUGCGUACGAUACAAUGUAGUGCAUAACACAAUUCUAGUUGUUUCAUUACAGCACGUCCGAAAAGGAGUAGGAAUAAGCUGAGCUUAUUUAAUCCUACCCCUUUUCAUACUAUAUCCAUUUUAUCCCAUUUCCUUGUUCUCUGUAACAGAACAGUGAAUACAUAAAUAAUAAACAAA